UGGGAGAGCUGUAUGAAGUUGUAAGAGAUAAUGUUCGGUGCUUAUUCUCUGCAUAUCCUGUUACUGCUGCUCCCAGCUAGCUGCAUGAGCGCCCUCGUCUCCCAACUGGAGAACCACUUGUCUUUUGGAGAAGGGAAAAUGGCGGAGAUGCACUGUUACCAAAAUGACACUAACGAGAGCUACAUGUACUGGUACCGAAAGCACAGAGGAGCAGGUCUGGAGCUCGUAGUAACCUCCAUUUUCGGUUCUGAGCCCAGAUUUGAAGAGAGUUUCAAGAAGAGGUUUGAAGUCACGAGAGGUAGUCAGAAGUCGUGCAGCCUGAAAAUACAGAGCUUAGUGCCGACUGAUACUGCAGUCUAUUACUGUGCUGCUAGUGAUCACACUUUGUGUUCUGCUAGCAUCUAUUACUUCGGUGCUGGCACGAAGUUGACAGUUUUUGAGCACCCGGUUCGAGGGCCCAAAAUCACGAUUUUCAAACCGUCACCAGCAGAGCUGAGAGAGAAAGGAAAAGCGACAGUGGUGUGCCUUGUUAAUGAUUUUUACCCCGACAACAUCCAGAUCCACUGGUAUGUCGAUGGUAAGAAGGAGGAAAAUGAAACUAAAAUUCUGUCAGACCCCGAAUCAGUCGCAGAGGAAGGGGGCAAAUCUUACAAUGUCAGCAGUCGGAUAAGAUUCGUUGAUGAAGAAUGGGUCAAGAUGAAGAACGUUGAAUGCAGAGUUCAUCAUUAUGCAAAUGGAUCGGACCCUACUUUGUACACGUCAAAGUUUGAAGUCAAUGCUGAAAUCUGUGGCAUGAGUAAAGAAGCCAAAGUGCAGAGCAUGGGGACAGCAAAAUUGACGUACCUUAUGAUGUUUUGCAAAAGCAUCUUGUAUGCACUGUUCGUGUCAAUAAUUGUUUGGAAGUCCAAGAUCUCCCGCAGCAAAAGAUUUGACUGAACACAAUGAAGAAGGAGGAACACAUGAGACAGCAUGGAUGGAGGAAGUUCGCAAUUUGUGAAUGCUAAGACAGUGGUUUGCUCUUGUUUACGUCUGCUGCCCAAGCAAUGUAUCAAGACAUUACCCUCAACAAUGUGGUCUUGUGAAGUGAUAGAGCAGAAUUAGAGCCCUUUCUGCUUUCAGGUGUCUAUAUCUUGACACGUAUUUACGUUUUUUAUUAUAUAAAUAAGCUUCAGGUUUGAGAAAUGCAAGAUAUUUCAGCAAAUAGUUCAGUGAUAGCCAAUUUGUUUUUGGAUUGUUUGAACCUUUAAAUACAAGCACUAAAUAGCACAAGUCAAUUUGAUCCAUCAUGCAAAAACGUCCUCUUAGUGUCAGAAUUUGCUUUACGCAUUUUCAAGGCACAAAAAAACGGUUGCGUGUUAAAUCUUAACUUUAACUUAUAUACCCCUCCUCUUUCUUUCUGUAUUAUCAUGUGCAUAUUAUUAAGAUGUUGAACAUUGAAAGUGAUUCGAAUGUUUUUUUAAAACAAGCUGUUAUUUUAUCUCGUUUCCAUUCAAGCAUCAAUGUAAUUAUGAGUUUUUGAAUGACAUUCUGGGAUUUUAGUCAAUAUUGUGGGAUAAAGAUAUCUCUAAAAAGAUAUCCUUGAUAGAGCUAGCAUUGACAACCUGUUUGUGAAUU